ensembl:lncRNA
CCCACAGCUAGUAAAACUGUUGUACAGCCCACUCACGUCCAGGUCUCUGAUGAGGCUCUCCAUCUGGUACAUGUCCUUGAACUCUGGUUUGUACUUCUGGUCCACCUCUUUGUCCAUUCUCUUCAGAAGGUCCUGGGUGUCCCGGGCCUCUUUGUGGAACUGGAGAGAAAACAGACCCCGUCAGGAAAAACACUGUAACAACAUCACUGAAAGCAGCUACGGUUUAUUUCCAUGAAGUUCGACCGGCAGCCAGUCGGUCUCUGCCUGAACCAACUCUGUUCACGUACCACGACAAGUCUGUAACUCAGAAGCUGUUGUUUUGUACAACACAUGCUGAUACACAAGCCUGUCCAAAUCUAAUGACCCUGUUCAAACAUUCAGGAUUUCUUCAACUGAUGCUUUCUGAAUACUUGUUGCUGUGACUCACCUUGUGGUUGUGGUCCGUACGUUUCAGGUGGUAUCAAGGUUAAGGUCAGGUCAGGUUAUAGUAUACUAAAUCACCUUGUGGUAUUCGUCCAUGUGUUUCAGGUGGUAUCAGGGUUAAGGUCAGGGUAUACUAAUCACCUUGUGGUAUUCGUCCAUGUGUUUCAGGUGGUAUCAAGUUUAAGGUCAGGUCAGGGUAUACUAAUCACCUUGUGGUAUUCGUCCAUGUGUUUCAGGUGGUAUCAGGGUUAAGGUCAGGUCAGGUUAUAGUAUACUAAAUCACCUUGUGGUAUUCGUCCAUGUGUUUCAGGUGGUAUCAGGGUUAAGGUCAGGUCAGGUUAUAGUAUCC